CCCAAAAAUACUAGUUGCUAAAGCUCACACAUGCCUUAAUUGCACCCACUGUCCUCGCUGAAUGCAGUUGAGAUUCUGUUCCUUUAUGCUUUUAAAACAAAGUACUGCUCAUCAAAGAACAAGAAAAACUGAUUCCUGAAAUAAAAUUUGAAGAUAAAGAACAUUCUGGAUUGCCUUAGGAAAUUAAGGGGAAGGAAGUAAUUCAAAAAUCUAUAGAUCUUGAUAGGUCAUAAAUCCUAAAGGAUUUCAGACAUAGGUCAAGAGAAAACCGAAGUCUGGAAGGGGAUAAUGAAGGAGACAAAUAAAUAAUAUAAAUGUAUUUAUUACCACUGAACGAUACACUUAAAAAUGGUCAAGAUGGUAAAUUAUAUAUGUAUAUUUUACCUUGUUUUUUUUUUUUUUUUUUUUUAAAAAAGAAAGCACAGAGACUAAGUUGCAGAGAGGAGGGAUGAAGAAAGAGAAGAAUCUUGACAACUCCUAGAAUCACGGCAUCUCAAAGUUGGAAGUUACAAGAGUCCAUCCAACCACCAAAAUACUUCAAGAGGUGACAGAUCCUGCCAGGACUGGAUACUUUCCCUCAAGACAGCAGGUUCCCUUCCGGCCCAUGGUAUGUCUAGAAAUGUCAUUGGGAGGUGGGGCCUGAAAUGGAGGCUUUAGGACUCUGCUUGGUGCUUUGUUUUACUGUGGCUACACUGGUAUCCAAGCUACAAGACAAAGUCUUCUUUACUCUUCCCUCACCUUUCCUCAAGUGGAAGAAGUCUCUCCCAGAGCUGUAAGCUGCACUGCCUGGGACUGGGAGAGGGUGAUGCAAGCACUCCUUUGGCUCCUCCAGCUAGUAUCUCUCUAGGUCAUGUGUACCCCAGGUCCACUGGCUCUGAGCCCAGCACAGUACCAGGAUGUGCCCAGGAAUUGUAGUCCUUGUGGCCUAGACUAUCUUUCAAAUUUAUUUAGGAGCUUACAGCACUUUAGCCCACAGCGGUGGGCUAGCUGGAACUCAGGUUCCAAUUGCUAGGAUGGAAGAUUCUUCUCUGGCUAGGGCUGUUCUAAAUGCAGCCUCUGUGGGCACCAGCGAAAUUGUGCCCUGCAUUGCUUUCCAUUCCGACAGACAGACCAACAAACACUGAGUUCCAAUACAAAGUGCCAUAGUCACUGUGCUCUCCCUCUCCCAAGCACAGAUUCUCUCUCAGCACCACACUCCUCCAUAGGGGAGGGGUGGCAUCAGCCAUUCAAGACUGUCUUUCCUACCCUCUUCAGUGCCUCCUUCCUUGGUAUAAUGUUAAAACCAGGUACUAUGAUGGUUCACCUGAUUUCCGGUUCUUAUGAAGGUGCUUUCUUGUAUGGAGAGCUAUUUAAUUUGGUGUUCCUGCAAGGGGGAUGAUCACUGGAGGGUUAUAUUUGGCCAUCUUGCUCCAUCCCCUCCUUCCUUCUAUUCUUGUCUGGCAUAGAGUAAACCCUCACUAAAUAUUGUUAUUCUUCCUAGCUAUAUGAUCCCCUAAAAGUUCUUUGAUGGCACUCUGUCCUUCACCUAAAGUGCUCCUUUACUCUCCUAUCCUGAACCCACACUCCUCCUCAUCUUUUCAAGGCUUCAAAACUAAUGCAGCAGACUCUCUGCCUCAGAGGAUCAGUUAUAUCAUAGUGAGAUAAGCAGGACAUUUUACAAAGAAACAAGUAGCUGUUCAAUAGAUUUCCAUGAACUCUGAGCACAGCCAACAAUCCCCGCCCCCCACUCCUCCCUACCCCCAAGUGUUACCAGGCUUCAUUCUUUAGGGUCAUUCCAGUCCUCCACUAAAUUUCCAUUAGUUAUUAAUCAUCUAAAGCUUUUAUCUAAAGUUUUCCAUUUAUCCUUCUGUCUCUGGCCCUGCAUUCCCCUACUUUACAGAGAUAUAUUUAAAAAACUGACACUGUAAAAGCAAACAGACAAGUGGGAUAGAAUACUGAAAAGUCAAGAAAAUGGAAAGCCUUUCUGAAAUUGAAUCACCUUCUAACAGCUAUUUCUAAUAAAAAAUGUAUUAGAAAGAAAGGGGAAAAAAAGGCUUGGAUCCCGAAAGACAGUUUGAAUCAUAACAGUGCGAGUGCGAGACAGAAGACAAUCACUUUCUACUCUCUGCUGGUCUCUAAAGGAAUUCCAGUUAGUUAUCCAAGAAUGGAAGAACACCGUGAGUCAGCCGUUCUCCUUUCCUCUUUAAAACAAAAACAAAAUUCAUCUUGGUCAUGUUAUCAGUUGUCUGUAUGUAGAGGGAAAAAAAAGGCCAUUUCCAGGUCAUUACCUAAAAUCAACUCUUCCAUUUAGUGGGGCCAUCUGGUAGCUGAUAUGAUUAAUUAUAAAAUUUCCAUCUCAUUCAAUUUAUUUUAGCUCUUUCUAUAAGUUACUUAACAUAGAAAUAAGAAAAUCAUAGCCAAACUAUAAAUUGAAGCUUGAUUGGUGUAAUUGGUAUGUAUCCCCCACCCUACAACAAAAAAAAUUCAAAGGGGACAGGGGAGAGAAAGGAAUGAUAGAUGAAGUUAAAGCAUCUGAAAUUCUAUUCUCUUUCUUGUUUAUACCACAGAGCAGCUCUCUUUAAAACAAAUCCUUCUGUAAUUUCAAAAGGCUUCAGCAAGUCUUCCAACUAGACUGGGUCAAUCAAAAUAAAAGGUUUAACACUCAUCUUGACUGUGUUUUUUUUUUUAAAUCAUGAAAUCAC
rnacentral:lncRNA from 1 species